rnacentral:lncRNA from 1 species
AUGCCGAGGGGUGAACCUGGUCUUGGGGAUGGUGGUCUGGUGGUCGGCCCAACGCAGACCCAACCCGUCUUGCUGCUGUUUUUCCUGAUGCCCACCCAGACGGGGAUUUCGCCUUGGAGGAAGGUUCAAGGAACCAUCCCUUUGAAAAGUCAGAUGCAGGAUUCCCUUGUGCCAGAUCCAGACUUCUAUCAAAUACCUCAGUUUGGCUGCCAUUUUGGCUCCCCUAUCCUUGAGAGCAAAGGUAAAAUCAGACCAGGGAAUGAUAUUUCCAUUUAUGCUUCAAAAUCUAGUCCAUUUUUUCUCCCUUUCAUAGUGUUGCAAUUUUCUGUACACUUGGCUGCUCAUUGGGUAAGUGCAUAAUUGUUACUAUAGGCUUGUGGGGCAUAAAUCACUUUAAUUGGGCCCUGAUUCAAGGACCUAUUAUGGGCUUAUUUUUCCUUACUUAAAAUUUUUAUACAUUAGACUUUGAUAUUGUGUGUGACAUCCAGAAGUUACUUUUUCUCUUUUAUUUUUAUAUAUUUUUGAAUUGUCUUUUGACAAUUGAUUCAUAUACCUCAUAACUCAGCUAUGUAUACUGGAGUGAUCCAUAUGUUGGUCAACAUCAUUCUCAGAGUAGAUGGUAUUAUCAUCAUAAAAUUCUGGUUUUAUAAAUAUUUGUUUGAGAGUAAUAUUAGGAUAAGUAACUUGCUACCUCCCUGAAUCAAGAAAGUGAACUGUUUGGAGAAGGUGUCAUGGAGAUGCCUGCAGAAACCAUACACUGCAUCAAAAAAUACAGAAUGAACUUUGGGAUGUAGUGAAAUUGAACUGUGGGGAAUUUGAAUGCAUUUAUUUUGAAGGUACACUUUUAUGCCAAAGGCUAUUGUCCCCUUAUUGGCUUUUUUGUCAAUGCCCCUAUCAUUAGUUUUGUUCUCUUUCUCUUUUAUUUCUCUCUUAUUCCCAAAUUAUUGUAAUUGAUCUCUUUCUUAUUUCUCUCUUAUCCCCAAAUUAUUGUAAUUUCCCCAUAGAAAGUGCAAUAUUGUAUGCACCUCUAGUUAGAGAUCUUUAGAGAUAUAAGUUGGUUAUGUGUACUGAGUCAUUGUGGAAACUAAGCAUGUAAAUCUGGGAGAUUUCUACAUGUUCGUUUCCCAAUGGAAUCACAGGGAGGAUUGUAUAAUUAGAAUCUGCACCCCAGGACUCUCUCUCCCAGCAUCCUACUUUCAUUCUCACGUUACAUCCUUACAUUUUGG